UUGAGUUUUUAUUUUAAGGCAGAUGAAUCUGUAAACUCAAAUCAGACUUUCCAUGGAAAAGAUGCACUCACCCUUUCUGAAAUUAUUGUUUUCAUACAAAUCUUUUCCGGAUGAUAUUUUCUGGGAAUUGAGGAUGAGGAUAAUCUCAUCAUUUUGUUUAUUUGUAGAUUGCAUGCAUCAUUUGAUUGCGCUCAUCCGUCCUGGCCAAACCUGGACACAGGAAUGGAAAAGGGUGCUCCCACACUUGGUUCACUUGCCUGGUCCGAACCCGAGUUCUGGUGCUCCCCCCUGCCCCCGCUGGACUGUGUUCAUAUUAUAAUAUUUGAGUCCGAAACCGCGGUUCGCUUGCAUCAUCAAACCAGCAGCUGUUUACCCCGUUGCUUGGUAACGACAGCGCAGGAGAAUGCGCUUCGGUACAUAACGGCACUUGCGUCUGUCUUACGAAUGUACUGAAAAUACUCUAGAGCGUUGAAGGCGGACAUAAAUGAGAUGUACAGCUCUCUGCUUGCAGCGCGUCAGUCACGCUCAUCAGGAAAGUCAUGGAUGAACGACCCAUGAAAAGAAGAACACCAGCUGGGUGUACCAUCUGUCGCUGUGCAAUGUAGUGGACGGGCUGGGCAGAUGCCACCAUUGAGCUGGAUAGAAACCAAGCACAACAAACUGAUACGAAACAAAAACAAGCCGGACCCUGGAUGUAGUGGCAUGCUCGAUGAACAAGCAGUGAGCAGCAAAACAUGCCUGGAGGAAAUGCCACAGUAUGUACAUUCAAACCAUGCACUUAUGCUGAAUGCAAGACCGUGGAGUAGUGGGAGACAUGGUUGGAGAAGCACACAACCGUGAGUGAAAAUGAGUCCCCCACUGAAGCCAUCAAUCAACGUAAUGGAUAUGAGACAGGACAUCUCUAGAGAUGCGGCAGUGAAACUCUGCCCCUUUUAUUCCAUCACCACUGCUCUGAACGGCAGCCUCGGGAGACCAGGAGCAGGACAAUACCAGCCUUUCACUCAAGCAAGCAGCUCCAGUGAUUAGUCACAGGACAUUUACGACUGCCCGUGAUUCAACAACCAGGUUGCAUAAUUUUGGCACUGCAGGCCCUGGCCGAGUGACUGAGAUGAAUACGAAUGAUUUUCUAAAUCGGACACUUAGGUGCUUAGAUAUCAUGCUGACGUAGAAGGACUGUGCAUGAAGGUGGCUCACUAGUCUUUGGAACAAAUUAGGAGCCCCAGGACAGGUGUGAUUUCCUCAUGACACUUAUUUCACUGAUAGAUCACAUUUAAUUUCAUACUAGUGCCAGUGAGAAAAAAACAACAAAAACAGCAAGCAUGAAUCACUCAGGGAUCUGCGUUCAUCUUAUUCUCUUAAAUAUCAGCUGAAAACAGAAGGUCGUGCCAUCUGUCUUUUGCUGGAUUCAUACUUUGUUUGUUGCCAUGCACAUUAAGAGUAUCUUUUGUCACAAUGUUUGUUUUGUUUAGGUAAGAUGCAUCUUUUGUCCAUCCUUCUCUGUAUCUGUCUCCUGCAUGCUGUAGUCCUUGGCGCGUGACAUUUUUUUUCUUCUUACUGCAGCUGAAGCAUUGCAGGAACAACUGGAGUAGUCAACUGUGGGAGCCUCCGAGGAUUCCGGAGCCUGAAUUAGUGACUCUAUUUACAUUUGGCCCAUGCACACUGUUAGAAUCCCCUAUUUUUUGGGAGCACUGGGAUCUAAUAAUUCAUAAUAAAUAACUUUUCACGGUGGCUGAAAGAACAGUAUGCAAUACUUCAAAUCUGCAAGCCCUUUUCAGCUUCCAAGGAAACUCUCGACGGAAUGCAUCGUUCUCUCAUGCGAUUUUAAAGAGGUGCAAAUAAACGGUGAAAAUUUGCAAGCGAGACUAGACGUUUCAGUGAAAGCGGACUACAUUUAUAGAUGUAGAUCUUGUGUUUUGCCACGGAACAAGCCUCAGUCUAUUUCUAGCAUGUGUUUUGUGCCUGUGAGUCAACUUAGUGUAGCCUGACACCUGACAGAUGUACCGGCUGCACUUUUAAUUAUGAUGCAGGCCCCAACCCAAACUCAUUAAAACAUCUUGAAUAACAAAGGCUAGAUUGUCUGAGAUCAUUUGUCCCGCAGACAACAAAAUGCUGUAUUCCAGAUGAGCUGAUAAUUUGGCAUAAUAAAUGGAAAGCCGACUGCCUCACGCGUGGAAGAUUUAUCUCUGUUGAGCUCGGUGGUCAUUGUUCUUACUCACUGGCUGUAAAUUGAUGGGUUGUUGCAGAGUUGUAAGAGCCAGAUCUUCUGCCCCAGGUCCCU